CUCGUGGGUGUGAGGUUUUUUUUUCUUUUUUUUUGAUAAGCAAAACAAUUUUAUCAAUAAAUUAUCUUGGAAAAACUUUGCAUGCAAUAUCCAACUAAUAUCUGGUCAUUAGACCUCUGCAAGACAUCCAUCCUAAGACAAAGCAUGCUAAGUGAAAAAAUCUGGGGAAGUGCACGAUAUAAAGCAUACCAAGACAACCAACAAAAGGAUUACGAAAAGAGGGUCCCUAAAUACAACAUGCAAGAAUGAUGGUUCAAUAGAUAAAAUGAAACAAAGCAAAACCAUCAAGGAACCCUGCAUGGUCAGCAAAGACCAAACUAGAUUACAGAAAAAUGCAACACGUCCUUGGAUUGUAGAAGACCACCAAGAUGAGAUAAGCCAAAUUCAAUUGUGGGUGUAAGGUUUAGGCUGUUGUAAUUCUUCCCAAAUGAGAUUUAUGGCAUUGGGAGCUUUUAAAAUUUCCUUGCCCUCCAUUUACGUUUGCAUAGUUGAGUCUUGG
rnacentral:misc_RNA from 1 species